AGGGCAUUGCGUACAGGAGCUGGGUGCUGGAAAGAAGAGCGCCCAUGGAGUGACUUGUCUUGCUUCUCGGAGGGGCAGAAGCCAUCUGAGGAAAGACAAACGCACAGGAGAAACGGAGGAGGAGGAGAGAGUGCUGGAGGAUUUCCUGAGCGGCCACAGGUUCAACCCAGGCUGGAAGGACCAGUCCAACGCCACAGUGUCGUUUACAUGCCAAUGACCAACUACUUGAACAUGAGCAGCAAGGCUUUCCCAGGGUCCCUGCCCUCCUCUCACUACUCUCUCUUUCACAUUACUGCUUGCAGCGGGGACAGGCAAAUCUCAGUGGCUCUAAGGGCUCCUACGGCCAAAGACAGAAGGACAUUGCAUUGCUCCUGUCAGACCCCAGAUCUUGACCAUUCGCUCUUGGUAUCGGAGGUGCUAGCUGUUCUGCUGGCGUUCAAAUGCCCUGUUAAGAAGGCAGACUGCAGAGAUAAAACCCACAGAAAAUGUUGACGCUGGGUGAGUGCAGCGAUACAGCAAAUUGGGCAUCGGGAGGCACGGGACCGGGCACUGCUCUCCGGGUGUAUAUAUAGGUGCUGCUGGAGACCUCACGCUGUGCGCAGGAGAAACCAGAGCCAUGAGGUGGCUUGUGCUGGCUGCCGUUUGUUGUGGAGGGGGCGGUGA